AGGGGGAAUUUUCCGCAAUGGGCGAAAGCCUGACGGAGCAAUGCCGCGUGAAGGAUGAAGGCCUAUGGGUUGUAAACUUCUUUUCUCAGAGAAGAAAUUUUGACGGUAUCUGAGGAAUAAGCAUCGGCUAACUCUGUGCCAGCAGCCGCGGUAAGACAGAGGAUGCAAGCGUUAUCCGGAAUGAUUGGGCGUAAAGCGUCUGUAGGUGGCUUAAAAAGUCUCCUGUCAAAGAUCAGGGCUUAACCCUGGGCCGGCAGGAGAAACUCUUAGGCUAGAGUUGGUAGGGGCAGAGGGAAUUCCCGGUGGAGCGGUGAAAUGCGUAGAGAUCGGGAGGAACACCAAAGGCGAAAGCACUCUGCUGGGCCAUUACUGACACUGAGAGACGAAAGCGAGGGGAGCAAAAGGGAUUAGAUACCCCU
rnacentral:rRNA from 1 species